AUGCUCGGGUGUGCCGGCGCCCCAUCUGGUGCUGGAGGGAGAUGCUCGUACGCGCCAGCAAGAGCCCGCCAUAGGUGUGGAUCCUACACCUUCCGUCGCAUCCCCACGUCUCCUCCGCCUACAGCCUACUCCGUAACACGGCGAAGGAGCUCGUGUGGGUGGAUGCUCCGGCGGCGUGCCCGGAGACAACGGGUGGAGGAGCUCGUGUGUGCCUGCCCUGACGGAGAGGAGCGGAAGAUGCUCCUGGAGUGGGAGCACAACGCUCGUGCUCUGGCGGCUCCGGCGACGUACAAGCAGCUGCAUGAGCGCAGAGAGGAGCUUAUCUUUUGUUAUAUAUGUUUCAUGCCUCCUCGAGCUCGACCACCCGCGGCUACGCACUGCUAA
rnacentral:rRNA from 1 species